AACAGAGUCAUAAGCUCUACUGACAGUACUAGAAUAUCAAAUACAUCAGCGUUUGGAGUAAAAAUAAAUAGAAUGAAGUAAAACUCCAAAAGUUGUCUCUGAGGCAUGAGAAUGCAAUGGAAGGUAUACCUUGAAGUCUUCAUAGCGAAUCUCUGCAAAGCUAAAUAUGGAAGGAUAAUAAUAUAACGCCAGCAAUGGGAAGUAGAACCAACAAAUAACAACAAGGAGUAAGCAGGUGAUAUUGCAGCAAGUAAUAAGAACACUGUUAAAGUACAAGUGGAACAAAUUAAGGAAAUAUAUGACAACCAAAUAAUCACCUCGAGGUAUCACACCUCAUAAUCAUAAAUUACGAGUCCCAAGUCACGAAUCACAAUCACAUGGCAUAUCGUGCCCAUAUUAUCAAUCACAAUCGCACGGAUAACUCACAUGAUGUACGGACAACUCACGUGUCAAUACCUCAUUUUCUCACGGACAACUCACGUGCCAAUAGUAAGAAUACCUUAUAUCCUCACGGAUAACUUACGUGCCAAUAGUAACAAUAUCUCACAUUCGAGGACAACUCACGUGUCACCAGUCCAAUCCACACAUAGAAGGCAAGUAUACAAGAAUACACAUACACAUCCAAUGAAUAUCAAGUUUUAUACUCCAAGACUGGUAUAUAUAACAUGUUACGGUGUGUGCUUGUGCAACUGUACUAUCCCAGCUCAAGUCAAGAGGUAAAACAAGACACCGAAUAGCACAUUGGAAACAACACAACAAACUCCAUAAUAUGCAUGACACAAAGAAGAAAUCUAAACCACAGCACAAAUAUCAUAAUAGAAAAUUGACAAAAAUAACUUACCUAAUAGUUUUAUGUGAAAAUCCCUCCUCAAAAUUGCCUCGUACCGAGUCUAGGGUUCCAAAAUAUGAUAAAAUGAAGUUAAGCCCUGUUUAUAGCCCUUAUGUUUAGGUGCAAAUGUGCCAAAUGUGAUGUAAGGUUCGCAAAGGCAAACCUGCAAACCCUCGCAAAUACGGACAAACCAUCGCAAAUCCGAUGCCUGAUGAACCUAGGAAAAGUCUCAAAUGCGACACAGACUUCGCAUUUCGAAGUCCUCCCAUUCCGCAAAGGCGAUCAAAUAAUCGCAGUUGCGACCAACCUUGCUUCGAAGCCCAAUCGCAAAUGUGAUUAAAAGUUCACAAAAUCAAACCAUGCAUUCCCCAGCCAACCCUGCAAAUACGACACCCACCUGGCAAAUGCGAACCAUAUCUCGCAUUUGCGCGACCUGAAGCACAUGUUCUAAUGUUAAACCAGCAACACUUAAACUCUUCCAAAUGCGUCCAAUCCUCAACAUAACCUUCAGGGCUCAAUGCCAAACAUCAACACAAGUCUAAAAAUAUCAUAAAACUCGCUCGCAUGAGCAGAACAUCAAAAUAAUAUCAAAAAUCACAAAUCAGACCUCAAAACACAUGAAAUUUACAUUGAAACUCAAGAAUUUCUAACAAGCUAAACUUUUCAGACAAGCUCCUAAUAAGAAAACAACCUAUUCAAAGUCUCAAAAUAAAAAUUUGAACCUGAAAGUCAUAAAGUCAACCUACGGUCAAACAUAUGGAAUUUCUAAACCUUAAAUUACCAACUUUCGGCAAAACAAGCCAAAUCAACUUAGGGAUCUCCUAAUUUAAUUUCGGGAUUAUGUCCAAGACCAAAAUCACAAUAUGAACCUAUCGAAGCCAUCAAAAUACCGUUCUGGUGUCAUUUAAAAAAAAUUCAAACCUUAGUCAACAUUUUAAACUUAAGCUUCUAAAAUAAAAAUCAUCCAUUCAAAUUAAUCCUGAAACAUCCAAAAAUUGAAUCCAACCAUGCACGCAAGUCAUAAUACAUGAUAUAAAGCCACUCAGAACCUCGAACCACUAAACGAACUGCUAAAUCUCAAAAUAAUUUGUAGGAUCGUUACAUUCUCUCCCUCUUAAAUAAAUGUUCAUCCUCGAAUGUUGCAAGAGUCGUUCCAAAGCUAUCAAAUCACUGUAUAAACUUAUCAUACACAUACAAAUUGGUGAUCCCAUGUCAUCCCCACUGUAAUCCCGACAAAACCAUCUCAAAUGAAGAUUAUUUCUUCCACUCAUGCUAAUAAGUCUUAGAACCAAUUCUAACAUCCACCAAGGACCUGAUUUUCGCAUAAACACACUGUAUCGACCUCAAUCAGGUGCAAUAACUCAUGUGCACACCAAGAAAGUACAACCACACGAUGUAACACAUCACCCAUAUGCCCAUAGAAACAACUCUAACCACAAUAGUUGGCCAUUACCAAAUCCGGUGCCGGUAAAUAGCCUCAUAGCGACUAGAACCUUGUUCCAAACCUUCCCAAUACUGAUAAUAAUGAAAGAAUAGGUAAAACUCAUAACGACUCACCCGACCAUCAAGCCACACCAAACUCCACCUGGACACAUACAUCGCAAUCUAAAACCAUCAGGCACAACUCGAAUGUGACUAAAUAUGAACAGAGAAACACAUUAGAGAACUAUUAAACAAGUCUAACACGUACGACUCCCCAUCGGUACCAUACUUCAGAUUCAAUCCACAAAGAAGUAUCAAGAUAUACACAACCACCUCAACGAAUCUUUCCCUAACAUAACCCCACCGUGGCACAUAUCCCGGUACAAACACACCUAUCCACAAAGAAUAAGGUUUUCACUCUCCACUUGGGAUCAUAGGUAAGAUAAAUAUUUCAACAACUAAAACAUUCUACUAACUCAAUCCCGUAGAACUAAAACCACAACAAAUAACGGAAUUCCCAAACCUAUAGAGCACCCAAAUCACAAGUCAUGGCCAAACCGCUCAUAAAUCACAUCAAAACCUAUUGUAUAAGUAAAAGAAAGUCUACCCUAACCCCAUAACCUUCAAUAGUGACCAAGCUACAAUGAUAGGCACGGACUAUAAUAAUAGAACCCCCAACUGGCAUGAACAUAUAAAUAGAGUACAAGAAUCACGAAACACAGCCAUAUAUGAAGCAAGGCAGGUUGAAUCUUACUAAUAAAUGGGGUUGGAUCAAAAUAAUACUAAUAUAUCUCUAUAAACAACCGAAAUCAUACAUGUGAUGAUAUCAUAUAGUGCAUCAGCAUCAGACUAACUAGUAAAAGCAUAACAAUGGGUUGGACCUCCCCGGUCACACCUCCUUUUUUUCGAGGGGAUACGAGAGUUUGUUCAAUUAAAGUAACAUAAUCAAAAUAGGAUAAUUUAUUUUAUUCAGAGCCGUCACUUGAAAUAAUUUAUGGUGUCCCAAGUCACUAAUUUAUUUUAAAUCCCAUAUUGAAGAAAUUUGACUCUAUUUUAAAGUCUGCGAAACAUAUAAAUCUGGGUAAGAAAUUUUGAUAACUCGGGAGAAGGUGCUGGACAUUCCCGGGUCCUGUGAUUUUAGCACGGUCGUUCAACUAUUAAUAUUGGCCUAAUUAUCUAAUUUAAUAAAUAUUUUAAACCUACGUGCAUUUUUAACUUUCUAAUCGCUUUUAAUGUUUAUAGAAUUAUUUUCAAGAACAAGUCACGAUGUCGCGCACUCAUUAUUUUAGUACGCAUUGUGAACCGCAUCAUAUGAAAUGCACCCGCGGUAUACAACAUGUUUAUUUUUAUUACUAUUCGAAGUUGUGGUCGGGUCGCAUGAAAUACACACCCAAAUUGGAUUCAUUUGUUUUGAACAUAUUACGAAUCGCGUCACCUGAAAUGCACUCGCGGUUUACAACAUAUUUAUUAUUAUUAAUAUUUGAAGUUAGGGUCGGGUCACGUAAAAUGCAUACUCGAAUUGAGAUUAUGUAUCGUGACCAUACCACGGGAAUCGUACUCAUAACCAGGAUAAUUUUAUUAACCGCGCCUAAAUCAAGCUAUGAUAUUCAUAAUUAUUCUCCUAAAACUAAUUUGAAAUUGUAAUGACUUAAAGUAUAUACUAGGUAAUGGCUACUGUAAUACAUAUUGGCCUUUUUUCAGAAUUUUGGAGUUCCAUUUUCUAAGUUGAAACCACAAAGGAAAGUUCCCACAAACUUCCUCAAACUCCAAAAUCAAUAGAAAUACUAGCCAAGAUUGAAACCUUACAAGAUGGGUCUCAAGGAUUUCUAUUAUUUAGAGCAACAGAAAGACCUUCAGAUUUAACAAAUCCAGAGGUUCACUUUUUGGUAACAACUUGACAUUCACUUAUUUAAAAAUAUUGUAGUACCUAAAGUACAGCUUAGCCCCAAUAAUCUCGAAAUAGGAUUCUUUGAAAAAAAAGUCAAAACUACUAAAACAUAAUAGUAUACUAAUAAUAAAGAUAGCAGCAAAAGAUGGAGCAUGAAUUCAGCCAAAAGAUUUCAAAGAGGAAGUACGUAUCUUCAGGAAACAGACAAAUGAACUAAGACGACAAACUAGGAUAAAAAUAAUAUCGAAGAGCAACAAUAGCCAAUAUCAUUCACUAUGCUAGCAAAAUCAAAUUGGGAUAAUAUAAGUGCAAAGAGUAGACCUUACAGAUGAGAACUAUUCGGAUGAAAAUCAGCAUUCGAAUCGGUUUAUCGAUAAAUCGAAUCGAUUAUUUAUUAUCGGUUUAUCGAUUUCGAUUUCGAAAUUUUCCUUAUCGAGCUUUCGAUUUUGAUUUUGUCCAUUUCGAUUUAUCGAUAAACCGAUAAGAUACACUAAAAAAAAAUUAUUUUUUAUUUUUUUUAAGAAAAUUGUUUUUUUAAAUUUUUUUUACCCUUAUUCUAUAAUACCUUUUCCUUUACCCUAAGUUUGUAACCCUAUUAUUUCCUCUACGAAGGAUCAUAUUUAAAGCUUAAGGAAUUGAAGUUCAAAAUAACUGAAAAAUAGAAUUAGACGUAAUGAUGUAUUUUAUGUACAAAUCCAUAAAAUAUAAGUAAUUAUCGAUAAGGGUCAAAAUCGAAUCGAUAAAUCGAAUGCACACCCCUAGAUUAACUGGAGGAACAGAAUAAACGUGGACAUACACCGAUACAUUUUAAACUUGAUUAUAACAACGAACACUUAAAGUAAUUAAUUCAUUUAACACUAUGCUAAAGAAAAAGUUAUAGUAUCACCACUAUAACCUCUGCAACACCAUUUUGAAGUAAGAGGAAGUUGAAUUUUCACAUGGUUAAUUUAAGAAAAUAUGUAGCUAAUAACAUAAAUUGAAGAUAAGAAGUUGGACCUUUGUAUUAAAUGAAUUGAGUUGUAAAUACAAGCUUAGCAACUGGACGAUCCCGGACCGGAAACCUCAAUCGGCGACGAACUCGAACACGGACUAGAAUAUUGGAAAGAUUGUUUCUGCCUCGUCUAGAUACGACCACGUCUGGUAUCUAGCUACGUACAAACCACAGCCAUUCAGUUAAAAUAGUAAAGCCAAAUGCAAUCUCCAAGUCAUCAACAAUCUCAUCCACUUCUGUCACUUUGCCUACACUUACAGUAAACACCCCUAUACUUCCAUUCACCGUUUACUAACAUGGGNN
rnacentral:lncRNA from 1 species